rnacentral:lncRNA from 1 species
GCGCGGCGGGGGCGGGGAUGCGCUGCCGGUGCCGCUCAGCCCCGGGCAGGAGCCCUGGCACCCUUCGGCCACCGGCGCGGCCUGCUCGGGGUGCCCAGAGCCAAGAGAAACCCAGCGAUCAGGGGGAGAAACCCCUCGGGAGAGUUCCCGAGCUCUGUCGCGACUCAACGGGCCACAGCAGCUCUUCUGUCGCGGUUGCCGAAACUGAGCAGCCCCCAACCCCGCAGCGCUGCCGUCGGUUCUGAGCUGCCCCUCACACGCGGCCGAAAUGUUGCCCCGUGUCCCGACAGCCCCGCUGCCGUGCAGCGCCCUAUAUCGCGAUAGCCCUAUUAGCCCCUCCGCCAGGCCGCACCUCGCUCCGUGCCCGCGGGAGCCGGCGGUGCCGGGGAGGGCAAAAGGUGCCCUGGGACAGCGCCCUGAGCCGCCGGGGCUUCACGGGGCAGGAUUUCAGGAUUUUUUAAAUCGGGGUUUUCUUGAAAGUGAAUUUAAACCCGAACUCACUCCCACCGUCACGUGAUGCCGAAAUUGGGAACAGGAGCAGAAUAAAAAGUAAACUGGGGUCAACCUCUUAAUGAACCUUUUUCCCAUUCCUACAGAAAAGGAAAAAAAAAAAAAAAAAAAGAAAAAGAAAGAAAGAAAAAAAAAACAGGCCCGGGCAGGCCGGGGGAUGCGGGCGAGGCAGCCGCACGCUGCUCCCGGAGGAGCCGUGCAGGGCCGGGCCGGAGCCAUCGCAGAUAAACGGCCGGAUCCCCGACGGCAGGGUGGCUCCGAUUCGUGGCUCAUCACCGCCGAGUCAAAGGAGCAGGCGAGGGGGAGGAUAAGCCCUGCUUUCAGGGCCCGGCGCUCCAACCCACUCAUCACUGUCACCGGGCUUGCUCAUGCCUUGGCCCUGAACACCGGCGAUUAAUAAAAGCUCCCUGUCGCUUUUCUCCACUAAUUACACUCGCGCGCAGGCUGCGGGCCGGGAAAAGGAAAGGCUGCGGGCUGCGCUACCUGCCGCCCGGCCCCCGCGGCUCCCUCGCUCUUGCUUCUUUCCCCCCCCCCCCCCGCAUAAAAAAAAAUAAAUUAAUCCUACGCACGAGGAGACGAGGGCAGAAGCAAGCCCCGAGCUCCGCGGCCGCAGCCGGCCCCGACGGCGGGGGGACACCGCGGCCCGGCCCCACUUCCCGGCGAAGGCAGGACCGAGCCUCGGCCGCGUAGGUUGGCACAGAUUUCUUGGCUGGAGCGGAAACUCACCGGUUCACACCGCUGCUGAGGGUUUGAGUGGCUGAGGACUGAGAGAAACUUGCCGAAUUUGGCCCGUAAAACCGCCGAAGGCACGGAGUGUAACCCUGAAUUGUGCGCGUACGCGGGAGGAACUACAGAGCAUCAGAGUCGGGCUUCUAAACAGGGACAGUGCCAAAUUUCUAAUAACUGUGUAAUAUGCUUAUUUAUACCAUACAAGGACUUACAAACCU